rnacentral:lncRNA from 1 species
UGCUUUACGGGUAUUGUUGGUCCCAUGCUUUGGUUGGUUGCAUGUCAUAUGUUAUGCUGCGUUGCUGUUAUUAUUUAUUUGCUGCAGGACCAAGCUCACAUGUUUAGUACGGGAUUGCAUCUUAUCGAGUUAGAUGAUUCCUGCAUGCAUAUUUUCAAAUUUCAUCUUUUCCACCUUUUCAUAAUACAUUUAGUUAAUAUGCUCGAUCGGUCUGAUUGCUAUGAAGCUAUACUUUUUGGACUGCAGGUUAAUAGUGCUGGCGGGA